GACGAACGCUGGCGGCGUGCUUAACACAUGCAAGUCGAACGGAAAGGCCCUGUUUUUGUGGGAUGCUCGUGUGGCGAACGGGGGAGUAACACGUGAGUAACCUGCCCUUUACUUUGGGAUAACUUCAGGAAACUGGGGCUAAUACCGGAUAUGAGCUCCUGCUGCAUGGUGGGGGUGGGAAAGAUUCGGUGGUUGGGGACGGACUCGAGGUUAAGCCGCUUGUUGGUGGGGUAGUGGCUUACCAAGGCUAUGACGAGUAGCCGGCCUGAGAGGGUGACAGGGCCCAAUCGGCUUGGGAUAGGAGCAGGACGGAUACGGGGGGAAGGGGUGGGAAAUAUUGCGAGAAGGGCGGCAGCAGGAAGGAGGAACGCCGGGUGCGAGAUGACUGCUUUUGGGGUGGAACGCGCGUUCGACUGGGAAGAAGAGUGAGUGACGGUAAUGGGUAAAGAAGCACCGGCUAACUACGUG
rnacentral:rRNA from 1 species